rnacentral:tRNA from 1 species
AAGAAUUUAAGUUAAAAAAACUGUUGACCUUCAAAGUCAAAAAUAUAAAAUUUGAUAAUUCUUA